rnacentral:lncRNA from 1 species
CAACCCAGAGGCACGAAGAAACCGGCUGGCCGAUGCCACGGCGCGAGAAGCGGCCAUGAGCAAACAAAUCUUGCCCUUAAAUAGCCCAGACCAACCCACGCCCCCACCAGUGGGACAAACCAGUUGGGUUUAUGCCCAUGAGGACAUAGAGCUCCUAAAAAAAAAAUGGGGGCCAUCUACUACCCUCAACUAAAACAGUGGGUCUACAAAGGAUUUUUGAAUUGAUCUCCUUUUUACAUAAAUUAACCCAUUUGGGGUUUAAGAAGAUGAAAACCUUACUAGAUCGGGAAGAGAUAAAUCUGUGUUUUUUUUUUUUAAUUGGGACAAAGCGAUACAAAAGGUGACUGAGAGUUACAAAGCGUGCGCUCAGGUUAACCUGGGAAGGACCAUGAUUGGACAAGGAGUUCGUCCUAGGGGACACCGUCCCGACAUCCAUUGGGAAAUUGAUUUUACUGAAAUUAAACCAGGUAUAUACGGAUACAAGUAUCUCCUAGUGUUUAUAGACACCUUCUCAGGAUGGGUCGAAGCCUUCCCCACAAAGCACGAGACUACAAAAAUGGUCACCAAGAAGCUCC